rnacentral:rRNA from 1 species
GCACCUCAGCAGUCGCCCGUGCAGCCUUCCGGCGCACGGUCCAGCGGCCGCGGGUGUUUCAUUCUGCUGGAUGCUCCCUCCUGUUCGUUAUGGGGUGGGUUAGGGACGUGUCCAGCUCUUUUACUUUGAAAAAAUUAGAGUGUUCAAAGCAGGCGACAGCCAUAAAUAUCUUAGCAUGGAAUAAUAGAAUAGGACUCGGGUUCUAUUUUGUUGGUUUCUAGGACCAGAGUA